rnacentral:rRNA from 1 species
UACGGAGGAUGCGAGCGUUAUCCGGAUUCAUUGGGUUUAAAGGGUACGUAGGUGGCCUUAUAAGUCAGUGGUGAAAACCUGUCGCUUAACGAUAGGCGUGCCAUUGAUACUGUUUGGCUUGAGUACAGUUGAGGUAGGUGGAAUGUGUAGUGUAGCGGUGAAAUGCAUAGAUAUUACACAGAACUCCGAUUGCGAAGGCAUCUUACUAAGCUGAGACUGACACUGAUGUACGAAAGCGUGGGGAUCGAACAGGAUUAGAUACC